UACCUAGGGUGCGAGCGUUGUCCGGAAUUACUGGGCGUAAAGAGCUCGUAGGUGGUUUGUCGCGUUGUUCGUGAAAUCUCACGGCUUAACUGUGAGCGUGCGGGCGAUACGGGCAGACUAGAGUACUGCAGGGGAGACUGGAAUUCCUGGUGUAGCGGUGGAAUGCGCAGAUAUCAGGAGGAACACCGGUGGCGAAGGCGGGUCUCUGGGCAGUAACUGACGCUGAGGAGCGAAAGCGUGGGGAGCGAACAGG
rnacentral:rRNA from 1 species